CCUACGGGAGGCAGCAGUGGGGAAUAUUGCACAAUGGGGGAAACCCUGAUGCAGCGACGCCGCGUGAGUGAAGAAGGAUUUCGGGAUGUAAAGCUCUAUCAGCAGGGAAGAAAAUGACGGUACCUGAUUAAGAAGCCCCGGCUAACUACGUGACAGCAGCCGCGGUAAUACGUAGGGGGCAAGCGUUAUCCGGAUUUACUGGGUGGAAAGGGAGGGUAGACGGCAGCACAAGUCUGGAGUGAAAUGCCGGGGCUUAACCCCGGGACUGCAUUUGAAACUGUGCAGCUAGAGUGCAGGAGAGGUAAGUGGAAUUCCGAGUGUAGCGGUGAAAUGCGUAGAUAUUCGGAGGAACACCAGUGGCGAAGGCGGAUUACUGGACUGUAACUGACGUUGAGGCGCGAAAGCGUGGGGAGCAAACAGGAUUAGAUACCCCUGUAGUC
rnacentral:rRNA from 1 species